rnacentral:tRNA from 1 species
ACCUGGGUGGCUCAGUCAGUUAAGCAUCUGACUUCAACUCAGGUCAUGAUCUCCCAGUUCGUGGGUUCAAGCCCCACCUCUGGCU